rnacentral:rRNA from 1 species
CACGUAUUUAGCCGGGGCUUCUUAGUCAAGUACCGUCAUUUUCUUCCUUGCUGAUAGAAGUUUACAUACCGAAAUACUUCAUCCUUCACGCGGCGUCGCUGCAUCAGGGUUUCCCCCAUUGUGCAAUAUUCCCUACUGCUGCCUCCCGUAGGAGUUUGGGCCGUGUCUCAGUCCCAAUGGUGGCCGAUCACUCCCUCAAGUCGGCUACUGAUCGUUGCCUUGGUGGGCCCGUUACCCCUCCAACUAGCUAAUCAGACGCGGGUCCAUCUUGUACCACCGGAGUUUUUCACACUGUAUCAUGCGAUACUGUGCGCUUAUGCGGUAUUAGCAGUCGUUCCAACUGUACUCCCCCUGUACAGGCAGGUUACCCACGCGUUACCUCCACCCGUCCGCCACUCAGUCCACCUCAAUUGUUUCAAUCUCUAGCAAGCUAGGUCAAUCGAACGGGAGAGGUGACUUCGUUCGACUUGCAUGUAUUAGCUACGCCGCCGAGUCGUUACAUCCUGAC